UGGUUCUAACAGUGCCUGUGCCAGUCAUCUUCGCAACUUUCUGAUGAAUUUCUGAAGAAACUCAAGCCCUCUCUCUCUUUAUUCUGAAUUAGAUCAAGAAGUUAAAGCGUGCUAUAUAAAAGGAGGAGGAAGACAAGCAGAUCUCUGAUCUGUUUGUGCAAGAAAACUUGGGCAGGACACAGUUAGAGAUUUGAUUGGUUUGGUUCAGGCCUUAAGAGAGCUCCGCUCCCUAUUUCUCAGACUUGGACCUUGCCUGUAUCAUGCAUGGAAUUCGCAGGAAAGCUCAGCUUUUCCUUAUAAAGAAGUGGCUAGACUUGUACCCUUAAUUUUCGACUUGAUUUUAUGGUAAAUAUAUGUGACCUAAUGUUAUCUGUGGUCAUUAUAUUUUCUUUAACUAAUAUGUCUGAAAUUAGUCUAUUAUUUUCCCUUGCCCAGUUAUUUUCUCUAACUAAUAUGUCAUAAAUGUCAUAGAACAGACUGACAGACAAACAGCCCAGAAGAUGAUCGUUAAGUAUAUUGACUGUAAUAUUAACAAGGAUAUUAUCCAAAUUUCGAAUUCGUUGAUAUAUAGCUAAUUAAAGAGUCAAUGUCUAGUUCAUAAGAACUAAUUAAAGAGGGGAAAUCAAUGUUCCCCUUCUCAUAAAAUACUGUUAUUUGGAACAAUAAUAUUUUUUGGAAUUUUAAUUUU
rnacentral:lncRNA from 1 species